AACGAACGCUGGCGGCAGGCCUAACACAUGCAAGUCGAACGCCGUAGCGAUACGGAGUGGCAGACGGGUGAGUAACGCGUGGGAACAUACCCCUCGGUUCGGAAUAACUCAGGGAAACUUGAGCUAAUACCGGAUAAGUCCGAGGUUUUAAUUCGACCUUGGAGAAAGAUUUAUCGCCGGAGGAUUGGCCCGCGUCUGAUUAGCUUGUUGGUGAGGUAAUGGCUCACCAAGGCGACGAUCAGAGCUGGUCUGAGAGGAUGAUCAGCCACAUUGGGACGUGAGACACGGCCCAAACUCCUACGGGAGGCAGCAGUGGGGAAGUAUUGGACAAUGGGCGAAAGCCUGAUCCAGCCAUGCCGCGUGAGUGAUGAAGGCCUUCGGUUGU
rnacentral:rRNA from 1 species